rnacentral:rRNA from 1 species
GAUGAACGCUGGCGGCGUGCCUAAUACAUGCAAGUCGAGCGAACAGAUGAGGAGCUUGCUCCUCUGACGUUAGCGGCGGACGGGUGAGUAACACGUGGAUAACCUACCUAUAAGACUGGGAUAACUUCGGGAAACCGGAGCUAAUACCGGAUAAUAUAUUGAACCGCAUGGUUCAAUAGUGAAAGACGGUUUUGCUGUCACUUAUAGAUGGAUCCGCGCCGCAUUAGCUAGUCGGUAAGGUAACGGCUUACCAAGGCAACGAUGCGUAGCCGACCUGAGAGGGUGAUCGGCCACACUGGAACUGAGACACGGUCCAGACUCCUACGGGAGGCAGCAGUAGGGAAUCUUCCGCAAUGGGCGAAAGCCUGACGGAGCAACGCCGCGUGAGUGAUGAAGGUCUUCGGAUCGUAAAACUCUGUUAUUAGGGAAGAACAAAUGUGUAAGUAACUAUGCACGUCUUGACGGUACCUAAUCAGAAAGCCACGGCUAACUACGUG